UACGUAGGGCGCGAGCGUUGUCCGGAAUUAUUGGGCGUAAAGAGCUCGUAGGCGGCCUGUUGCGUCCGCUGUGAAAUCCCGGGGCUCAACCCCGGGCUUGCAGUGGAUACGGGCUGGCUAGAGGCAGGCAGGGGAGAACGGAAUUCCCGGUGUAGCGGUGAAAUGCGCAGAUAUCAGGAGGAACACCGGUGGCGAAGGCGGGUCUCUGGGCCGAUACUGACGCUGAGGAGCGAAGCGUGGGAGCGAACAGG
rnacentral:rRNA from 1 species